AGCCUCAUUCCAGAUUAGAAUGAGCACAGUUGAUUGGUGUCCAGGACUGGUCAGGGUGGCUGAAACUGGGAUGCAGGUCACACUUCCAUCACAGUAAACAUUUAUAGUGGUGACGGUGAAACCUGUGACAUUU
ensembl:snoRNA small nucleolar RNA SNORA1